rnacentral:rRNA from 1 species
GACGAACGCUGGCGGCGUGCUUAACACAUGCAAGUCGAACGGAAAGGCCCUGCUUUUGUGGGGUGCUCGAGUGGCGAACGGGUGAGUAACACGUGAGUAACCUGCCCUUGACUUUGGGAUAACUUCAGGAAACUGGGGCUAAUACCGGAUAGGAGCUCCUGCUGCAUGGUGGGGGUUGGAAAGUUUCGGCGGUUGGGGAUGGACUCGCGGCUUAUCAGCUUGUUGGUGGGGUAGUGGCUUACCAAGGCUUUGACGGGUAGCCGGCCUGAGAGGGUGACCGGCCACAUUGGGACUGAGAUACGGCCCAGACUCCUACGGGAGGCAGGAGUUGGGAAUAUUGCACAAUGGGCGGAAGCCUGAUGCAGCAACGCCGCGUGCGGGAUGACGGCCUUCGGGUUGUAAACCGCUUUCGCCUGUGACGAAGCGUGAGUGACGGUAAUGGGUAAAGAAGCACCGGCUAACUACGUG